AAAGAUAUCAUUUACAAUAGUUUAGUACACAUUUAUGGUUAAACAUUUUAGGUAUCAAUGAACAAACAAUUAAAUGUAAAACCCAUAUCAGUAUCACAGUGAAUGUAUUACUCUGACAAAAAGGAAUUGCCCCUUCCCAAAAACCUCCUAGCAUCUAUGUCUUACCAUGACAAGCCAACUACACACUAUGCUUCCCCAUUUAUCAUUUUAUGUUACACAAGUUGUACAAAUUUAAUAUACUGUGAAAAUUCAUUUCUCUUUCUUACUGUGUUCAUAUA